rnacentral:rRNA from 1 species
AGUGAACGCUGGCGGUAGGCCUAACACAUGCAAGUCGAACGGCAGCACAGUAAGAGCUUGCUCUUACGGGUGGCGAGUGGCGGACGGGUGAGGAAUACAUCGGAAUCUACUUUUUCGUGGGGGAUAACGUAGGGAAACUUACGCUAAUACCGCAUACGACCUACGGGUGAAAGCAGGGGAUCUUCGGACCUUGCGCGACUGAAUGAGCCGAUGUCGGAUUAGCUAGUUGGCGUGGUAAAGGCCCACCAAGGCGACGAUACGUAGCUGGUCUGAGAGGAUGAUCAGCCACACUGGAACUGAGACACGGUCCAGACUCCUACGGGAGGCAGCAGUGGGGAAUCUUGGACAAUGGGCGCAAGCCUGAUCCAGCUAUACCGCGUGGGUGAAGAAGGUCUUCGGGUUGUAAAGCCCUUUUGUUGGGAAAGAAAAGCAGCAGGUUAAUACCCCGCUGUUUUGACGGUACCCAAAGAAUAAGCACCGGCUAACUUCGUG